CUGGAGGAAAUCACUCAGCUCGUCAUGCUAGAGCACUUUUUCAAUGUGCUCCCCAACGAGAAGGCGACAACGCAUUUGUAUGUUAAUCCAUAUCAACUUUCGAUGCCAUUGACUGCGCCUACCAUGGUGGCCACGGGUUACAUGGAAUCAGGGUUUGAUUCCGUACAGGGACCCUGAAAAAUGGCUACCACAUGCAAGGAAGGCAGCAGGCGUGCAAAUGACCCACUGCCGACGCAGAAAGGUAGUGACGACAAAUAACAAUACUGGACUCUUUAGAGGCCCUGUAAUUGUAAUGAGUCCACUUGAAAUCCUUUGACUCUGAUCAAUUGGAGGGCUCAAAUAG
rnacentral:rRNA from 1 species